rnacentral:lncRNA from 1 species
UUAUAACACAACACCCAAUGCGUACACCCUUGCUCUCCGCUGGGGUCUUACUCGACAGGAGCCCUUUUUCCGUUGGGUUUGGGAAGCCAACCGCGGCAAACCGGUACGCGAAAACGCCACCUUUUCUUUGGGAACCGACGGAAAUCUUGUCUUGGCCGAAGCGGAUGGCACUGUCGUUUGGCAAACCAACACUGCCAACAAAGGUGUUGUCGGUUUCAAGUUGCUAUCAAAUGGCAACAUGGUGCUUCAUGACUCAAAGGGUAACUUUAUUUGGCAGAGUUUUGAUUAUCCAACUGAUACUCUCUUGGUGGGUCAAUCUCUUCGUGCCGGUGGGGUCGCCAAGCUCGUCAGUCGAGCUUCGGAAAAAGAAAACAUCGACGGCCCUUACAGCUUUGUGAUGGAACCUAAGAGAUUGGCAAUGUAUUACAAAAGCAGCAACUCUCCGCGGCCUGUUCUCUACUUCACUUCAUCUGAAUGGUUUACUGUCCGAGAAGGCUCUUUAGAGAAUAUAACAUUCACGUCCGAACCAGAAACUGAAGAAGCUUUUGCCUAUCAUCUGUCCCUGGAUUCUUCAGUCGCUGGUGUCCGGCUGGCUAGACCAAGAUACAACAGCACAAUAUCGUUGCUGCGGCUAGAAAUGGAUGGAAAUCUCAGGAUCUACACUUACGACGAAAGGGUUGAUUGGGGUCCAACGGAGAAGACAUUCACACUUUUCGACAGGGAUUCAGAUUGGGAAAUAUCUGAGUGUCAGCUGCCGGCUGCAACUCGAACUGAGGAACAAAUUCAGUCAAGCCACUUAAGGGGACUCCAUUACCAGUGGAGCCAACACUUUAUUAGUAUACUGUUUUUAUUUAUUAUUUACUCAAUAUAUAUACAAGAGGUUGUUUGAUUAGGAUAUAUAAUAUAAGAUUAAUGUUAAGUUACAUUCAUGUAACUUACAUCCACUUACAUUAACAGUGAGUGGUGUGGGGAUCCAUAUAUAAUUUGUUUUGUUGAGAUGAUGGAUGCUAUAUAUAUUCAUAGUUGAUGUGAGUAUUGGUAUUUAUAUAUGAAACUUUGAUAAGAAUAGUUAGGAUAUGGUAUAAAAAGUCAAUAAUCAGUGGUGUAAAAUCUAUUAUAUUAAUAUUAAAAAAAUAAAAUUAAUUAACCCAUGCACAUGACACGCAUUAAUUAGUGCCUAUUAUUUAUUACUCCAAGAAAGUAAGUACAGUAAUUAUUAUAUAUUUUUUCGAUCCAAAUCAAAGCAAUUUAAUUAGUUUGACAGACGUGGUACAACAAUUUAACAUGCAACUUGUCACUCUUUAGCCAUUAUAAAUAAUGACCUGCCUCAGCUCGAAAUUCAUCACCUAGCCAAGAAAAAUGUCAUCUUCUUCAGCAAUAAUCACCCUCUUCGCCCUCUUACCACUCGUUUUCUCCAUAGCUAAUGCUCAAGUUCCUCCUUCUGAAACUUUUCAGUUUGUCAAUGAAGGAGACUUUGGGGAUUUCAUAGUUGAAUACGGCGGGGAUUACAGAAUGUUGGGCAUCUUCAAUGCUCCAUUCCAGCUUGGCUUUUAUAACACAACACCCAAUGCGUACACCCUUGCUCUCCGCUGGGGUCUUACUCGACAGGAGCCCUUUUUCCGUUGGGUUUGGGAAGCCAACCGCGGCAAACCGGUACGCGAAAACGCCACCUUUUCUUUGGGAACCGACGGAAAUCUUGUCUUGGCCGAAGCGGAUGGCACUGUCGUUUGGCAAACCAACACUGCCAACAAAGGUGUUGUCGGUUUCAAGUUGCUAUCAAAUGGCAACAUGGUGCUUCAUGACUCAAAGGGUAACUUUAUUUGGCAGAGUUUUGAUUAUCCAACUGAUACUCUCUUGGUGGGUCAAUCUCUUCGUGCCGGUGGGGUCGCCAAGCUCGUCAGUCGAGCUUCGGAAAAAGAAAACAUCGACGGCCCUUACAGCUUUGUGAUGGAACCUAAGAGAUUGGCAAUGUAUUACAAAAGCAGCAACUCUCCGCGGCCUGUUCUCUACUUCACUUCAUCUGAAUGGUUUACUGUCCGAGAAGGCUCUUUAGAGAAUAUAACAUUCACGUCCGAACCAGAAACUGAAGAAGCUUUUGCCUAUCAUCUGUCCCUGGAUUCUUCAGUCGCUGGUGUCCGGCUGGCUAGACCAAGAUACAACAGCACAAUAUCGUUGCUGCGGCUAGAAAUGGAUGGAAAUCUCAGGAUCUACACUUACGACGAAAGGGUUGAUUGGGGUCCAACGGAGAAGACAUUCACACUUUUCGACAGGGAUUCAGAUUGGGAAAUAUCUG